CUGGAUGUUCUUGGGGUGAAUGCCCUGCACGGUCUGCAGGCACUGGCAGCGCAGCUCGGUGACGACGGGCGCCGCUGCGGGGAGAGCAGGCCGGUGAGACCCUCAAAUACUGGUGCAAAACAAUGGGUCACCAAUACCAAUGUGCUGUCGUUACCACUAUACUGCUAACUGUGCUAACUGUAUUGCUGUCAUUUGCACCUGGAGAACAGGAAGAAUGGAAAGAAGGAAGGAAGGGAG